ensembl:miRNA mdo-mir-12402-1 mdo-mir-12402-1
AUGGCUGAUGUUUGGAGGGUGAGUAAGUCAAGUAAGCCUCACCCCUCCUGAUACAGCCAGGACU